UGCGAGUCGUGCGGCCCGGUCAGCGGGCAGCGGCGUACGGCUCCGUAAUACGUGGUCAACCUACUCGGAGCACCGGGAUACCCGCUGGGAAACUGCGGCUAAUCCCGGAUAGGCGAGGAGGCUUGGAACACCCUCUCGUUGAAAGGCCGGGUUAACGAUGCUUAGCUCGGCGGCUCCGAAUGGGACCACGGCCGAUCAGGUUGUUGGUGAGGUAACGGCUCACCAAGCCUAAGACCGGUACGGGCCCUGAGAGGGGGAGCCCGGAGAUGGAGACUGAGACAAGGCUCCAGGCCCUACGGGGCGCAGCAGGUACGAAACUUUUGCAAUGCGCGAAAGCGUGACAAAGUCAUCCCGAGUGCCACCCGCUGAGGGUGGCUUUUCCACAGUCUAAAAAGCUGUGGGAAUAAGGGGAGGGUAAGUCGGGUGUCAGCCGCCGCGGUAAUACCCGCUCCCCGAGUGGUGGGGGCUUUUACUGAGCUUAAAGCGCCCGUAGCCGGUCAUGCGUGUCUCCAGUUAAAUCCAGCAGCCUAACUGCUGGGCCGCUGGAGAUACUGUAUGACUUGGAGGCGGGAGAGGCUACCGGUAGUCCCGGGGUAGGAGUGAAAUCCUCUGAUCCUGGGAGGACCUGCAGUGGCGAAGGCGGGUAGCCAGAACGCGCUCGACGGUGAGGGGCGAAAGCUGGGGGAGCGAACCGGAUUAGAUACCCGGGUAGUCCCAGCCGUAAACGAUGCGGGCUAGGUGUCGGUGCGGGUACGGCCUGCACCGGUGCC
rnacentral:rRNA from 1 species